CAAUAGCGUAUAUUUAAGUUGUUGCAGUUAAAAAGCUCGUAGUUGGAUUUCGGGUGGGACGCAGCGGUCUCGCAUUGCGUUUGUACUGCUGCAGCCCUCCUUCUUGGCGGGGGCGGCCUCUCGGACUUCACUGUCUGGGGGUCAGAAUCGGCGAUGUUACUUUGAGUAAAUUAGAGUGUUCAAAGCAAGCUUACGCUCUGAAUAUAAUAGCAUGGGAUAACACGACAGGACUCUGGCCUAUCGUGUUGGUCUAUAGGACCAGAGUAAUGAUUAAGAGGGACAGUCGGGGGCAUUCGUAUUCCGUUGUCAGAGGUGAAAUUCUUGGAUUUACGGAAGACGAACAUCUGCGAAAGCAUUUGCCAAGGAUGUUUUCAUUG
rnacentral:rRNA from 1 species